rnacentral:rRNA from 1 species
UAGGGAAUCUUCCGCAAUGGGCGAAAGCCUGACGGAGCAACGCCGCGUGAGUGAUGAAGGUCUUCGGAUCGUAAAACUCUGUUAUUAGGGAAGAACAAAUGUGUAAGUAACUAUGCACGUCUUGACGGUACCUAAUCAGAAAGCCACGGCUAACUACGUGCCAGCAGCCGCGGUAAUACGUAGGUGGCAAGCGUUAUCCGGAAUUAUUGGGCGUAAAGCGCGCGUAGGCGGUUUUUUAAGUCUGAUGUGAAAGCCCACGGCUCAACCGUGGAGGGUCAUUGGGAACUAGAAAACUUGAGUGCAGAAGAGGAGAGUGGAAUUCCAUGUGUAGCAGUGAAAUGCGCAGAGAUAUGGAGGAACACCAGUGGCGAAGGCGACUAUCUGGUCUGUAACUGACGCUGAUGUGCGAAAGCGUGGGGAUCAAACAGG